UAAACCUUUCCUACCUUCCUCUCCCGACGGCGUUCCUCUUCUCAGGUGAAAACGCAACAGGGGAUCUAGGGCAUCUCUCCGGCGGUCGGCAAGGGCCUAACUCCGGGAGUUCUUCAUCAAUCCGAGGUCUCCUUGUCGAAGGGAAGUUGUGAGCACGAAGAGGAGCCGGAAAGCUCAAGCUAACCGGAAACCCUAGAGCUCUCUUCGGUUGUAAGUCCAAGAACACGAAGGAUAAAGGAAGACGACAAGGAGGUGCGGAUGGUGUGUGAUGCCAGGACUAUGGGAGAGACUUGGGAUGUUAUUGAGUUUCCGUGUUUUAAUGGAUAAGAUUUAUUGAGAUUGUAAACAUUUGAGAUUGUAUUUUAUACUCCAUGUCAUUUGAGUUUAUUCUUGUUUUAGAUUGCAUGUUAA